GCAGGGAUGGGUGCACCUCCUCAGCAAAUUUGCAGAUGACACUGAGCUGAGUGGUGCAGCUGACACACCUGGAGGAUGGGAUGCUGUCCAGAGGGACCUAGACAGGCUCGAGAAG